rnacentral:rRNA from 1 species
AGCUCCAAUAGCGUAUAUUAAAGCUGCUGCGGUUAAAAAGCUCGUAGUUGGAUUUCUGCUAAGGACGACCGGUCCGCCCUCUGGGUGAGCAUCUGGUUCUGCCUGGGCAUAUUUGUGGACAACAUAGCUGCACUUGAUUGUGUGGUAUGCCACCCAUGACUUUUACUUUGAGGAAAACAGAGUGCUUCAAGCAGGUUCUUGCCCUGGAUACAUUAGCAUGGAAUAAUAAGAUAUGACCACGGCUCUGUUUUGUUGGUUUCUAGACUUGUGGUAAUGACUAAUAGGGAUAGUUGGGGGCAUUUGUAUUUAGUUGUCAGAGGUGAAAUUCUUGGAUUUGUUAAAGACAAACUACUGCGAAAGCAUUUGCCAAGAAUGUUUUCAUUGAUCAAGAACGAAAGUA